CUGCUUGCUUCGGCAGCACAUAUACUGUAAUGGGAAUGAUACAGAGAAGAUUAGCUUGCUCCUUGUGCAAAGGAAAGACACACAGUCUUGAAGCAUUCUCUAUUUUU
ensembl:snRNA U6 U6 spliceosomal RNA